rnacentral:misc_RNA from 1 species
GCAAACUUGGUCAUUUAGAGGAAGUAAAAGUCGUAACAAGGUAACCGUAGGUGAACCUGCGGUUGGAUCAUUACUGAGACGAGGUUGUGGCAGAUUGUUAUCAUCUGUCUCACAUCCUUCAACACCUGUGCACUGUGACUGUAUUUGGCAAGUGAGGGCCUGCUGCCGUACGUGCAGGUGGUGCCGAGUUUCAGUUGGCCCAAACGGAAUGUUGGGUCAAGUUUGAAAGCUUGUCCGGUUAUUAUUUAAACUAUUCAUUGAAUUGUGAGCCUGAGCAAUGCAAAAUACAGAAUGCAUAAAACAACUUUUGGCAACGGAUCUCUUGGCUCUCGCAUCGAUGAAGAACGCAGC